UUGAUUGUUUCUUGUCCCCUUGCGGUUAUUGAAAUUGAAAUUGUAUGAGAGUUGUUGCGUGUAUUAGCUCUAUAUUUAAGAUUUAUGGGCAAUUAGAAAAUGGUAGCAUAAGGGCUAUGAAGUUAAAUUCUCAGCAUAUAUAAUUAGAUAAAUUUAAUAAAGUUAAGAUCUAGCAGUAAGUUUAAACCUGAUUAAUAUUGUGCCAGCAGUCGCGGUUAUACUUUGAGGUUAAGUAAGGGCGUAUCGGUCAAUAGUUAAGCGAAAAAAUUGUAGUCAUUAAAGCCUAGUAGAAUAAAAAAGUGAAAUUAGGAUAUCCUUGGAGGUCAGAGUGUGAACUACUAAUGUAAGCCGAAGCGAUAAAAUGUUGGGGUUAAACUAGGAUUAGAUACCCUAUUAUACCAAAGAGUAAUUUCAUUAGGCCUGAGUAGUAACAGUUAUGUUCUAAAAAUUUGAAAAAUUUGGCGGUGGUUUAGUCUUGUCAGAGGAACCUGUCUUUUAAACGAUACACCACGAAAUAUCUUACUUAAGUUAGUAGAGUAUGUAUACCAUCAUUAUUAGGUAAUUUUUAUAGAAUAAAUUACUGUAUUACGAUUAAUAAUGUUAAAUAUAUUAGAUCAAGGUGCAGCUUAUACUUAAGUCAAGAUGGGUUACAAUAGAAUUUAUGCUAUACGAAUGAGUAACUGAAAUUGUGACUCGGAAGGAGGAUUUGAUUGUAAAUCUAGUUUAAUAAGCUAGUUAGAUAUAAGCUCUAAAGCAUGUACAUAUCGCCCGUCGCUUUCAUUAAUAAGAUGAGAUAAGUCGUAACAUAGUAGGCUUACUGGAAAGUGAGCCUGGAAGGAU
rnacentral:ncRNA from 1 species